rnacentral:lncRNA from 1 species
ACAAUGAUUGUUACACAAUGACUGCUUGUCUCAUGGCUUUAUAUAUAGACUGAUGAAUGGAGAAAGUGCACAGAGUUUAUGCACCUUUCAAGAAAGAGAUUUGCAUAUUUUGCUAAUUUUAUUUGUUAGUGAAAAAAUUGUAUAAAAUACAAAAGUAUAUGAUCAAUUAUGGAACUAAAGGAUGCCCAAGAAAUUUGUUUAAAAGGGCAAUAAAUUAAUUAUAGGAAGAUGAAGCCAUCAUUUCUUGAUGCCAACAGCUAGUGACAAUAUAUUGUUGCCCAGCUAGACAACCCAAGAGAGGA